rnacentral:rRNA from 1 species
GACGAACGCUGGCGGCGUGCUUAACACAUGCAAGUCGAACGGUGAAGCUCCAGCUUGCUGGAGUGGAUCAGUGGCGAACGGGUGAGUAACACGUGAGCAACCUGCCCCUGACUCUGGAAUAAGCGCUGGAAACGGCGUCUAAUACUGGAUACGAGAAGGGUCCGCAUGGGCACUUUCUGGAAAGUUUUUCGGUUGGGGAUGGGCUCGCGGCCUAUCAGCUUGUUGGUGAGGUAAUGGCUCACCAAGGCGACGACGGGUAGCCGGCCUGAGAGGGCGACCGGCAACAGGGGGACGGGAAACCGGCCAAGACUCCGCGGGGGGGAGGAGGGGGGAAAUAUGGAAAAAGGGGGGAAGGCCGGAUGCAGCGCCGCGGGGGGGGGGAGGCCGGCCUUGGGUUUGAAACCCUCUUCAGGAGGGAAAGAAGCGAAAGGGAGGGUCCCGGAAAAAGAAGCCCGGGCUAACAAGGUG